UGGGGAAUCUUCCGCAAUGGACGAAAGUCUGACGGAGCAACGCCGCGUGUAUGAUGAAGGUCUUCGGAUUGUAAAGUACUGUCAUUGGGGAAGAACGGUUUUCUUGAGAAUAUUGAGAAGACAUGACGGUACCCAAGGAGGAAGCCCCGGCUAACUACGUGCCAGCAGCCGCGGUAAUACGUAGGGGGCAAGCGUUGUCCGGAAUUAUUGGGCGUAAAGGGCGCGUAGGCGGGCCUUUAAGUCCGGUGUGAAAGAUCAGGGCUCAACCCUGAGAGUGCAUCGGAAACUGGAGGCCUUGAGGACAGGAGAGGAAAGUGGAAUUCCACGUGUAGCGGUGAAAUGCGUAGAUAUGUGGAGGAACACCAGCGGCGAAGGCGACUUUCUGGACUGUAACUGACGCUGAGGCGCGAAAGCGUGGGGAGCAAACAGGAUUAGAUACCCUGGUAGUCCACGCCGUAAACGAUGAGUGCUAGGUGUAGAGGGUAUCGACCCCUUCUGUGCCGCAGUUAACACAAUAAGCACUCCGCCUGGGGAGUACGGCCGCAAGGUUGAAACUUAAAUGAAUUGACGGGGUCAUAGCUGUUUCCU
rnacentral:rRNA from 1 species